GUUGUGAAAUAAUCAAUUGCAGAGCCUUGAAAAAGACUCCAAGUACAAUUUUUGCGAACCCUGUUCAAUUUGGAUAGGGUU
rnacentral:snRNA from 16 species